UAGAUGUUGUUCAUUGUCACUUUUAUGUUGCAGACGUAGAUAACUUUGCCGAAAGCAAGAACACGUCUCUUUUAUUUUUCCCCUUCUUCCACAUUCAGACAGCCCAUUAUAAUAUUUAACUAACUGUAGCAGACACCGUGGAGAGCUUCUGAGCCUGUCGUCUCAGCCAGUCUCACCUGGGGAGACCUGUUUGCAGCACACAGACUGACAGUUUGACCCAGAGCCUGCGCCCCAGCUCUGCUGCUCUCCUCUAUGCACCGCAGCCUAGGCCCUACUUCCUACAUGCCCUGCAUGCCCUGUGUCAGUCCCAGGUCCCCCACUGACGUAGUACAUGACAGCAUUGACCCAGUUCUCCUCUGGUUAAGUCCCAGCAGUGACUCCAGAAAAGCCUUUGGUGCAAUCUCACUGCUUCAGUGCACAGACCAGCACCAGGCAAUUUCCCAGUGGGCCUUGUGGCUACACUGCUAGUUACUUGGAAGGGACCAGACUUUGCUCUGGGGCCUUAAUACCAAGAGAGUAAAGUCUACAGAGGAAAGAAGUUUGGGCACAUGGAAAGGAGCAUAAACCUUCCCUAAAACCAAAUCCAUAGCUGCAGCCUAUAGUCCUCCUUGGCCUGACUAUUCUCAUGCUUUUCAUUCUGCUUGAUCCUCUGUUAUGUUAUGGCCACUGCUUCACUGGUGGCUGUGGUGAGCUCGCAGUGACUGAGCAACGGCGGUGUUUAUCUCUGAAUAAAUAAUGGGUUUCUAUCCUGACAAAGUUGCUAGAAAGUAACCUGGUAUUACAACAAGGAACAUGCAAAUCUUAGAAGUCAAGCAAACAGAGAGCAGGCUUUUACAAUGAUUCCUACACGUCCCACCAAAAGGGAAGAAAAAUCCUUGCAGCUUGAAAGCUUGAUUUUGUCACAUAAAACUACCUCAUAAAAAAGCAAGCCGAGCACAAACAAGGCUAUAGAAACGACACAACCUCCUGCUUGCACGCCGCCUUGGCUGAAGCAAAUACAGUCAGCAAAACCGUAAGUGGGUGCAAAGUGGGGGUCGGAGCAGUGGGGCACCUUCCAGUUUAUGCCGCAGUACGC
rnacentral:lncRNA from 1 species